UGCAGCCGUGUCAAAUUCGGUGCUCGCCUGCUCUGUGGCGGGCACCGGCCCUCUGGCUGCCACAGCAGACGUGCCGUUCAUGGGCCCCGGGACCAGGCUGUUGGACCUGGGGAUAGAAGCAUGCUGCAGAUAACA
ensembl:snoRNA